UUAAAGAGGCUACUUCAGCUCGACUGGCUGCCCUGCUGCAUGCAAAGCUCCACUGUGUAUCUGUGCUAGUCUAUCGCACACGUAAAGAACGGCCAACGAAUUUGCGCCAGCAAGUAAACCAAGCAGACACCUGGAUUUUGCCGCACAUUGAUAGCGGUGUGCAUGCGAAUAAAAUGUUUUCUUCGCUUCAUUUGGAGCUGUUAAUUGACGGAUAAUCGAAGUGCCAGCAGGACUGUUGAUACUGGAGCACAUCGGUACUUCUUUGAAGGACAGUCGCCGUAUUUCUGAGCAGCAAAGUCAGAUGAUGGCUUAAGCGGAGAGGAGUGGGACAGGAGAAGGAUCUGAACUGCGCUGGGAUUGGAACUUCAGUGCGGAAGAAGUCCAUUGUCUCUGUCCUCUUGUCUGCGUGUCUGGGACAAUGAAGAUGACGGUCAGCAUGAACUUGUCCUUCAAAUUGUGCGCAUCGCCAACAUGGAGCUGAAGACUGAGAGUGCCAUUCGCUUUUGAUGAGAGAAGAAGUGGGGCAUCCGGAGCCCGGCAGAUGGAUAGCCCAAGACCAACUCCCUGUGUAGAUCUGCUGUUGUGGAAUUACUUGAAGUAGUAAAAACAAGAAGUCAGUGCCGCCCGCCCCCUGGCCCCCUCGCCCGCCUGUGCCGUGCGGAGGGAAGAACGUUGUUGUCAUCUUGUCCUCUCCCAUCAUGGCUUCCACGUGUGCUGGGGCUCCCCUGGUGCCGAUCUGGAGACGCCUGCCCCCCGUCUGAGGAGGACGCCCGCUCGAGGGACACGACACACAGCGCCGCGGUGGUGCGAGUAACAGACCGUUCCCCCACUCCCAUCCCCGUUCCCAUUCCCAUCCCCAUCCCCAGCCCAGCCCAGCUCCAGGGCCAGCCCAGCCCCAGCCCAGCCCAGCCCCAGGCCCAGGACAGACCAGAUCAGCCCAGCCCAACGUCCCCCUCAGAGGCAUGGCUGUGUUAUGGUGCAGCAGUGGACUGACCAGAUACCUG